UGGUACAUCAAAAAAUCCUUGAAUUUCUUUUUGAUGCAAAUCCAUUGUAAUUAUAUGUGUUAAACCACUUUUACAAAGCAUUUUUGCUAAUAAUUUAGAAACUAUACAUCCUCGUUUACGCAUUUUGCAUUGUUUUGAAUAAGAAUCUCCAAUUUCAACCAUGGUUUCACGAUUUGAUUUAUGAUAUACAGAGCAUCCUCCAUGUUUAACACCUAAUCGACUAUAAAACAAUUAAUAUAAAUUAAUAAAUUAAUAAAUUAUUAUAUAAAUUAUCAUGACAUAUUUAUGAAAACCUACUUGGCAAUGAGAUUAGCCAAUUCUGGAUGAGAAUUACCCGCAAUGAGUACAAUAUCUGAUGAUACAGGUUUAUCCAUAAUAUAAUUGUAUUUAAAAAUGGGGUAAUAUAUAUAAUUUAUAUGACUUUUUUUUAAUAUAUAUAAGAAAAAGUAUUUUAUUAUUUUAAAAAGAUAAAAAUUGUAUAAAUUUUAAUAAGUAAAUAAUUAUAAUAAUUAUAAUUUAAUAUUUUAAGAUAUUGAAUGUAAAUACUUUAUAAUUUACCGAUAUGAUAUAUGAUAGAUUAUAUGAUAGAUUAUAUAUUUACAUAUAUUAAGUUACGAAUUAUAAAAUGUUUAAUAAUAAAUUAAAUUAUUUUUUGUUCAUUUAUAUAUCAAUAUUAUACAAUGCUAGUGAUAUAUUAAUAUCAUUAAUUAUAUAUUUAGUUUAAAUAUAUGAUAAAUUAAAUUCGAUCUAAUCUUCUAUAUUUCGUUUGCGUUAGAUAGUACUUUUCGUCGAUUUAUGGCUUCUUGAACAACUGCUAAAUUUCAGAAGUACCAACUUAUAUAAACAUUUAAUAUUAAAGUAUAAUUUUUAUUAUUGAUUCUAUAAUUUUAUAACUUUAAUAAGUAGAUAUAACUAAAUAGUUAAUGUUUGUCUUUUAAGAUAUAUAUAUUUCUUGACAUAUAUAUAUAUAUAUAUAUAUAUUGUAUAUACACUUUAUUUCUUUUAAUUUGAGUUACUAUUUAUUUGUUAAAUUCUCUAUUCUAAAAUAUAGUAUUAAAUAAAAUAUUUAAUAUGAUAUAAUAA